UACGUAGGCAGCAAGCGUUGUUCGGAAUUACUGGGCGUAAAGAGUGUGUAGGCGGUGCUCUAAGUCUGUUGUGAAAUCUCCCGGCUUAACUGGGAGGGUGCGGCGGAAACUGGAGUGCUCGAGGGUGGGAGAGGUAAGCGGAAGUUCCUGGAUGUAGCGGUGAAAUGCGUAGAUAUCGAGGAGGAACACCUGUGGUGUAGACGGCUUUCGUGGACCAUUGC
rnacentral:rRNA from 1 species